rnacentral:rRNA from 1 species
GACAGAGGUGCCGAGCGUUAGGCGGAAUCACUGGGCUUAAAGCGUGUGUAGGCGGACUUCUAAGUACCUUGUGAAAUCCCACGGCUUAACCGUGGAACUGCUUGGUAUACUGGUUGUCUUGGGCCAUCUAGGGGCUACUGGAACAAACGGUGGAGCGGUGAAAUGCGUAGAUAUCUGGAGGAACACCGGUGGCGAAGGCGGCAUCCUGGACCGGUAUUGACGCUGAGGCGCGAAAGCCAGGGGAGCAAACGGG